rnacentral:misc_RNA from 1 species
CUGAGUGAGGGUUCACGCCCGACCUCCAACCCUUUGUGAACCAAACUUGUUGCUUCGGGGGCGACCCUGCCGACGACUUCGUCGCCGGGCGCCCCCGGAGGUCUUCUAAACACUGCAUCUUUGCGUCGGAGUUUAAAACAAAUUAAACA